rnacentral:rRNA from 1 species
UACGUAGGGUGCAAGCGUUAAUCGGAAUUACUGGGCGUAAAGCGCGCGUAGGUGGUUUGUUAAGUUGGAUGUGAAAUCCCCGGGCUCAACCUGGGAACUGCAUUCAAAACUGACAAGCUAGAGUAUGGUAGAGGGUGGUGGAAUUUCCUGUGUAGCGGUGAAAUGCGUAGAUAUAGGGAGGAACACCAGUGGCGAAGGCGACUACCUGGCCUGUUCUUGACGCUGAGGCGCGAAAGCGAGGGGAGCAAACGGG